rnacentral:misc_RNA from 1 species
CUCUAGUAACAGCCGUGGAGUCCGGGGCAGAAAAUUGGGUACCGUG